UCACCUCUGACCCUGAGUCACACAGGAUCACAGUCUCAAGCUCUCUCAAGGUCUCAACAUCGCGAUUCUCUCUGAAUCUCGCCGUCGUCUUCUCCCUUCGUAAUCGGUGGUGUACGGUGGAUUCUCGACGGUGGUCCUCACUUUUCUUUCUUGUUCUGUUCUUCUUUUUAGUUAUGAGUAGUUUGAUAAAAAGGGUGGCAGUGAUGGUUGUAAUAUGAGGAAGAUGAAGUACUCGUCGGUGUAUCAAGAUCAAGAUCAAUUUACGUUCAAUUCCUCUCAUUCUCUUCAAUUUCAUAUACAUGUUGUAUCAGGAUCAAGAUCUAGGUUUUGGAGUUGGCUGGAAAUGCUGCAAGGGACAACAAGAAAAGUAGAACUUUGCUAAGUCAUAUUAUUCAAUUGGCUGUUAGGAAUGAUGAAUAAUUGAGCAAGCUUCUUGGUGAUGUUACCAUUGCUAAUGGUGGUGUUAUGCCUAAUAUUCAUAACUUGUUGCUUCCAAACACUUGGUAUUUUCAGAAUCUCAUCACAUCCACCACUUUAAGCUCUGCAAAUCUCUUGGAACAUAUUGGAUAAGUAGUGCUUACUCAAUUCUUGAAG